UUUCAACCUCUUCUCCUUCGUAGUUUGACCUGCAGACAUCAUUCCAACGUUCAACAAGUAACAAGACUAAAAUAUGUUUGUGCAAGUGUGCACACAUGACCACACAUGUACGCACAGCAAAAAUGAAUCAAUAAGCAAGAACUAACACAUACAGUAUAUUUCCCAACAUUUAAACUACAUUUAACUUCAUCCGCUCACUAUCAAACAGUUCAGCCAUGCAAAGCAGCCAAGAGCGUCAAAACCCUCGAGAAAUGACUUGUUCUACUGUCAGAAUUUGAGCCAUUAGGUCCAAUAAAAUUGUGAAAUUCUAGAAGAACUGCAUGAUUAAAUUAUUCAUUCAUGUUAGCUGGGCGCUAAACCGUAAGUUAUACAGCUCGGUCGAUAGAAGUUUAUAGUGCGCAUGCUCAAUCGGCCCCACGAUGCAGGAUAUCCAGGUAUUUUUAUCUCGCCAUUUUGUCUUCAUUCCUUCCACGUGAAGUUGUGUUGUUGAAACUUAAACUAGUGAAAAUGGAGAAAUGAAAAAAAAAGAAAUGGGUGGUGCUGAAGAACUGAGAAUUGAACGGUCGGCACAAGAUGAAGCCAAAUGAGCGAUGACCGACCGACCGACCGACCGACCGUCUCCUCGGUGGAGGAGGAGGAGACCAGUGGACCGCUCCGACGCCUGCUGGUGAUGUGAGAUUUACACUUGUGGAGAAAGUUUCAAGUUAAAACCCACCAGAGGACUGUGAGCACCUCCAUCAGCAGCCAGCGUCGUGGGGUUGGCGUGGUUUGUCAGUUUUUCUCCACCUCCUCGGUGGAGGUGGAAAAAUGAUGCAGCCGUCGGUGACUCGGCGGAGCGCACUUCUUCCAGAUGCCGAGUCCCGCUGACGCACGGAGGGUCAUCGCGUUUCACUGACGGAUGAUUCGUCAGUGAGGUCGCAGGUCACGGAGCUGGAGCUGUGGUUGGAGGGGAGGUCGGGCCGGAUCGGGGUCAAGCCUUUGGCUGCUGACACCAGUUUCCUGGCCGUACAGAGGGAUUACAGUGACAACAUGAAGAGAGGAGUGAGGUCAUUGUGAGCUCUGCAGAUGUGAUGUGUGCAUCUGCUGCACUGUUAUAUAGCAGGAGACAUUAUGUUCAGCAGCAGAUUAGCGUCUGAUUUCAUGCUCGACUUGUUUAUAUUAGAUCAUGUAGAUUUAGUCUUUUUCAGUAGAUGUGUAAAAGUAUUAAUUCUGGUAAAUGACAUCUGCAUCAAAAAGUUCAAAUCUUUAUAUUGUAGUUAAGAUGCUGCUGUUUGCCAAAAAUGGUGAAUAAAUCUGCUUGACUUUUUAGGUAAAAAAGGUCAGACCUGAUUUCACUUCAUGUGUGAAACCAAGUGAAAAAACAACAUACGGACCUUCAGAUCAGAUCAGUGCAUCACCCUAAAAACCACAUUCUCACUUGUCCUUCAGGGCUUCUGUAGUUUAAAUUUCAUCCACUACAUGUUUUAUUGAUAUAUUGAUUCUGCAGCCACGUCACCACUUUCUCAGUGGACACAUUAUGCAAACGAUCCAGCGUGUAGAAAGAAAGGCCUUGCACACUAAACGCUGUAUUUAUUGCGGACGUCAGUGUGAGUUAUUGCUUUAUUUGUUUCCCCGCUCCUCCGUCUUGUCUGGGCCAAAGUUCAGCCUCCACCUCUGCUUCUUCUGCCUCUCCUCCCGCCGCUAACGUUGCUAAUUGCUGCCCUCUGCUGUCUCGCAGCCACCCUCUGAUCUCUGCACCACAUCGACACACACAACCUGUUGAAACACUCAAAACUCAAAGUGGCGUCUUUUCUGACGCAAACGCACAUUUUUUGAUGCCU